UCACUAUUCCUGGGGUGCCCGCGACGCGUGGGCUGAGACGGCAGGAGCCGAACCCAUCGAACCUGAUCCGGGUCAUACCGGCGGAGGGAGGAAGCAGCAGCCGUGG
rnacentral:ncRNA from 2 species